CAUGCAAGUCGAGCGAUGAAGCACCUUCGGGUGUGAAUUAGCGGCGAACGGGUGACGAACACGUGAAGAAUCUGCCUUCAACUCUGGGAUAACUCCGGGAAACCGGGGCUAAUACCGGAUAUGAGCCUUGAUCGCAUGAUCGGGGCUGGAAAGUUUUUCGGUUGAAGAUGACUUCGCGGCCUAUCAGCUUGUUGGUGAGGUAAUGGCUCACCAAGGCGACGACGGGUAGCCGGCCUGAGAGGGCGACCGGCCACACUGGGACUGAGACACGGCCCAGACUCCUACGGGAGGCAGCAGUGGGGAAUAUUGGGCAAUGGAGGAAACUCUGACCCAGCGACGCCGCGUGAGGGAUGAAGGCCUUCGGGUUGUAAACCUCUUUCAGUAGGGAAGAAGCGAAAGUGACGGUACCUACAGAAGAAGCACCGGCUAACUAUGUGCCAGCAGCCGCGGUAAUACAUAGGGUGCAAGCGUUGUCCGGAAUUAUUGGGCGUAAAGAGCUCGUAGGUGGUUCGAUACGUCGGAUGUGAAAAUCAGGGGCUCAACCCCUGACCUGCAUCCGAUACGGUCGAGCUAGAGUUUGGUAGGGGAGACUGGAAUUCCUGGUGUAGCGGUGGAAUGCGCAGAUAUCAGGAGGAACACCGAUGGCGAAGGCAGGUCUCUGGGCCAAUACUGACACUGAGGAGCGAAAGCGUGGGGAGCGAACAGGGUUUAGAUACCCUGGGUAGUCCACGCCGUAAACGGUGGGCGCUAAGUUGUGCGAACCUUCCACGGUUU
rnacentral:rRNA from 1 species